CAGACUACUGAUGAAAAGGUGUCAUGAAUUAAAGAUUAUGAUUAAUGCGAAUCUGUAACCCUGAGGUCCAC
rnacentral:snoRNA from 1 species